GUGGGGAAUAUUGGACAAUGGGCGAAAGCCUGAUCCAGCCAUGCCGCGUGUGUGAAGAAGGUCUUCGGAUUGUAAAGCACUUUAAGUUGGGAGGAAGGGCAGUAAGUUAAUACCUUGCUGUUUUGACGUUACCGACAGAAUAAGCACCGGCUAACUUCGUGCCAGCAGCCGCGGUAAUACGAAGGGUGCAAGCGUUAAUCGGAAUUACUGGGCGUAAAGCGCGCGUAGGUGGUUUUGUAAGUUGGAGGUGAAAUCCCCGGGCUCAACCUGGGAAAUUCCUCCAAAACUGCAUGACUAGAGUACGGUAGAGGGUAGUGGAAUUUCCUGUGUAGCGGUGAAAUGCGUAGAUAUAGGAAGGAACACCAGUGGCGAAGGCGACUACCUGGACUGAUACUGACACUGAGGUGCGAAAGCGUGGGGAGCAAACAGGAUUAGAAACCCGAGUAGUCC
rnacentral:rRNA from 1 species